CCUAGCAAACACAGGUGCCCCGGGCCAGACAUCUCUUCCCGCUUCCCCGGGGACUCCUUUGCGGCGCAGCUCCGGCGGGGCUCCUGUCCGCGGCUCCUUCUUUCUCACCUCUGCCGUUCGGACGCCGACCCCAUCGGCCUCCCGGCGAGGCCCCAGCGGCAGGACGCGCUCCUGAACCGUCCCUUCCGCCGCUGGUUUUCCGCGUCCCCGAUGAGCGUGCUUAAGUAUGAUGCUGGAAAUCGACUUCGGUUUCAGUUGGAGUUGGAAUUCGUGCAGUGUUUAGCCAACCCCAAUUACCUUAAUUUUCUUGCCCAAA